rnacentral:misc_RNA from 1 species
AUGGUUGUGAGAGUACAGAGCGCCAUCAGCUCUCAGCGUCCAUCUCGUCCAUUUUGGUCAUUUUGGUAGUUUCGUCGUUGUUGUAGUUGUAUGUUGCCGGUCUCUUGUUACGAAAAGUAAAUUUAAAAACAGCCGUUUAACCUAUUAUAACAAAAAAUGGCUGAUUCAGUAACAGCAGCAUCACCUGCAGUAGUUUCUGCUGCUCCAGCUAAUGGUGCUGGUGAUGCUAAUAAUGGACCACCACAGAAUCGAGGAGGUGGAGGCCGAGGUCGAGGAAUGGGUCGAGGAGGUCCACCACGAGGUAGAGGAGGCUUUAUGAGAGGAAGAGGUGGACCGGGAGGUCCUCCUGGCAGAGGUGGUAUGAUGAGAGGAAGGGGAGGACCAAGAGGAGCUCCAAGAGGUGGACCUAGAGGAGGGGGUAUGGUAAAUUUAGGAGGUGGUAUGGGUGGUCCUGGUGGCGACGUUAAACCUGGGGGAGGUUUUGGCGGCAGAGGUGGACGUGGAGGAAUGGGAGGUAUGAGAGGUGGCCCUGGUGGACGAGGUGGACCCGGUGGUUUUCGAGGCGGCAGAGGUGGUCCUGGAGGUGGAGGGCGAGGCGGUCCUGGAGGUCGAGGCAUGGGUCGUAUUGGCGGUGGUGACCGAGGCGGCAGAGGACAAGCUCCAUUCCGCAGGGGAGGACCACCUGGAGGAAAUGGGCAAAUGCCCCACAAGAGACCAAUGGGUAUGGGUGGGCCUGGUGGGAAACGACCUAGAUUUGAUGAUCAACAAGGUGGUUCCAAUGGUUAUGGACAAAGUAGGCAACAAAAUUAUGGCAGCGGCGGAGGUGGUGGUGCUGGAGGUGGUUAUGGAUCUCAACAACAAUCUCAACCUUAUGGUCAAUACAGUCAAUCUGCAUAUGGAGGGCAGCAAUCUGGCGGAGGGGGUGGAGGUAGCUAUAGCGGCGGUGGUGGCGGCGGCUAUGGACAGUAUGAUACGUCGAAUUAUGCAGGUGGUUAUCAAGCUGGCGGCGGAGGUGGAGGCGGGGGACCCUAUGGAAGUGCAGGAGAUGCAUAUUCGUCCGCUUAUGGAGCACCACCACCCGCCCCUUCAGAUGGCUACGGUACCGGUGGUUACAGUAGUGGGGGUGGUUAUAGUAGUCAAGGCAGUGGAGGCGGAUACGACAGUCGGAGUGGUUACGCUUCUGGAGGAUACGUUUAACACCUGACAGCUCUGGGUGAAAAAACUACAUGGAGGGGCACGCCACCGUGAAAUGGAGGCAUACUCAGGAGGAUAAAACAGGUAUGCUUCGGAAUACAUUUUUCCUGCAUUAGCAAAGGCAUUUUUCUUCUAGCUGUUUAACCUACACAGAUGCUGUAUUUCCUAGAAUAUCGUACAUCGUGAGGCAUUUGUUGUAGAAGUCUUUCACUCUAGAACGUUGUACCAAAGGGAGUUCCCUUUUUCCUCUUUAUGAUAAUGAAUUGGCCACGUCGGUGGUACAAUCAUGAAGGUAAGUGGCUUGCUGUGAGAUAACAACCUAGGAUUUGAUGGA